AUAUCAUCAAAAGGUUCAGAGAAUCUGGAGAAAUCACUGCACGUAAGCGGCACGGCCGGUAACCAACAUUGAAUGCCCGUGACCUUUGAACCCUCAGGCAGCACUGUAUCAAAAACCGACAUCAAUGUGUAAAGGAUAUCACCACAUGGGCUCAGGAACACUUCAGAAAAACACUGUCAGUAAAUACAGUUCGUCGCUACAUCUGUAAGUGCAGGUUAAAACUCUACUGUGCAAAGUGAAAGCCAUUUAUCAACAACAUCCAAAAACGCCGCCGGCUUCUCUGGGCC